GCACAAAUAUGGUCUUUUGAGCUAAGGACUACAAAAGUAAUCCAACCUUAUGGUAUAUCAUCCAUGAGCAAAAUCAAGUCCCAGAUGAAUGCAAAUGUCCAACAAACUAAGGAAUAAGAUGCAUAGUAAGAGAAAAUAGGAGACCAUUUCUAAAACUUUUCAUAAACAUUGAUUCAGCAAUGCGCAAAUCUCACAAAAUUGAGCAUCAAAAUUGUAAUGCAUUAUUAGAAUCAAGUCAAGAGUGUUAUGUGCCGUUUCCAGCCCAAAAUGACCUCGGCUAGUUAAAAUCAAAAAGAUUUAUCAUGCAUUUUCAAGCUUCAAAUCUUCAAGAAUUAUUAUUAUAACACGAAAAGAACGAAAACAUAAUGUAACGAACGUAGAAGCUGCAAUGGUGAAACAGAAAUG
rnacentral:misc_RNA from 1 species